rnacentral:rRNA from 1 species
UACGUAGGGUGCAAGCGUUGCUCGGAAUUAUUGGGCGUAAAGCGCACGUAGGCGGCUUAGCAAGUCGGAUGUGAAAUCCCUCGGCUCAACCGAGGAAGUGCAUCCGAAACUGCUGAGCUUGAGUACUUAAGAGGCUCGCGGAAUUCCCGGUGUAGAGGUGAAAUUCGUAGAUAUCGGGAGGAACACCAGUGGCGAAGGCGGCGAUCUGGGAAGAUACUGACGCUGAGGUGCGAAAGCGUGGGGAGCAAACAGG